AGAAACCAACUGUUGAGGUUCUAUCUCAACAUUCUCUAGAUUCAGAUGACAGCCAUAAACCGACUUCAUCCCUCCAACAGAUUGACAGCAGGACAAAUCGCUGGAAGUGGGUAUGUCUCAAGCUUCUUCCACUUGGUCCACUCCAAAGCGGGCUGCAAAGGGGAAGAAGUGGAAGCAGUUGAAUGACACAUGUUGCAUUUUGUAACUGGCAACAAAGUACCAGGUAAAAAAGAUUGUGAAGCCUGCCUCCAUAAAGAACUAGUAGCUCUACAGGACAGAGAUUGGCUUGCCAUCAAGUACUACAUCCAUAACAAAAUCAUAUUAAAAAAAGGGAAAAAAAAUGUUUUCCCACAUCUUCUGUGGUAGUUUGAGUAUGUUACCAGCAAUUAAAAAAGCAAAAUAAACAGCAAGCGUUUUGUAUUUAUUCCAGAUAAUUCUUAGCGACAAAAUCCACAAAAACAAUUCAGUUACACUUAGUCGACAAUUACAUUUUUACCCAUGUUUCUUUUAAACUCUUCUUGGUUUUAGA